GGCAAAUAUUAACAUUACACAUCUAAUCGAGGCAUAAAGAAUACUAUUGUGACGAAAAUUAUUAUGAAACCGUUUAAGCUAAGAAUACGAAUGAAAAAGUAGAAUAUUGUUCGAGUAUUAUACGUUGCGAAACUCUUUUGGAUCGUAUAAAAUAAAACGAGAAAACGAAGAGAAGUAGCAUAAAACUGCUACCUUUCAAUUUAGAAGAACCGAACAAUAGAGAGAAACGCUUCGUCGAUGAACUCGACAUCUUCCGAUAUGACCGACUGGCUGUGUCAUCAACAGUUCCACCACUUCUUCUGCGUUCUGCGCUAUUACUACGGCUAUUACUACGACUGGUGGAGCCAGAUCGCGUGCCAGAAACUUUCUUGCCUUUACUUGAUGAACUCGAAGGCUCCACUUGCUGCGGGAGAGGAGUUGAUUUUCCAGAACCAGGAGCACUGCCCGAGGUGGGCUUCCUAAUAGUUCUAGAAUGCGAACCCCAGGUCCCUAUCGUAACGAUUGAAAACACAUGAUUAGCAUUAGAAAUAAAUCUGAUAAAAAAUUUAAGCAUGUUAUUCAAUUAAAUGGUAAUAUAAUCAUUUUACCUGCUCGUGGCCUAUGACCUUGAUCGUGAGACGCUUGACCCGAAGUAUCUGCAUCUUCGGUUACGAUCGUUGGUAAUGGUUGCGAUCCAAGUUCCUGUAAAAAUCAUUAUAAUAAUUAUUAUAAAUAUAAAAUAUAUAUAAUUAUUUUAAAUUAUA